rnacentral:rRNA from 1 species
GGAAUUUUGGACAAUGGGGGAAACCCUGAUCCCGCCAUGCCGCGUGCGGGAAGAAGGCCUUCGGGUUGUAAACCGCCUUUGUCAGGGAAGAAACGCGCUGAGCUAAUACCUCGGCGUAAUGACGGUACCUGAAGAAUAAGCACCGGCUAAAUACGUGCCAGCAGCCGCGGUAAUACGUAGGGUGAAAGCGUUAACCGGAAUUACUGGGCGUAAAGCGUGCGCAGGCGGCUUUGCAAGACAGAUGUGAAAUCCCCGGGCUCAACCUGGGAACUGCAUUUGUGACUGCAGGGCUAGAGUACGGCAGAGGGGGAUGGAAUUCCGCGUGUAGCAGUGAAAUGCGUAGAUAUGCGGAGGAACACCGAUGGCGAAGGCAGUCCCCUGGGCCUGUACUGACGCUCAUGCACGAAAGCGUGGGGAGCAAAC